GAUGAACGCUGGCGGCGUGCCUAAUACAUGCAAGUCGAACGCAUUGAGAGAAGUGCUUGCACUUUUCAAUUUGAGUGGCGAACGGGUGAGUAACACGUGGGCAACCUACCUGAUAGCGGGGGAUAACGAGUGGAAACAUUCGCUAAUACCGCAUAACAAUAGAGAAGGCAUCUUCUUUAUUUAAAAGGCGCUUUCAAGCGUCACUAUCCGAGGGGCCCGCGGUGCAUUAGUUAGUUGGUGGGGUGAAGGCCUACCAAGACGAUGAUGCAUAGCGGGGUUGAGAGACUGAUCGGCCACAUUGGGACUGAGACACGGCCCAAACUCCUACGGGAGGCUGCAGUAGGGAAUCUUCCACAAUGGACGAAAGUCUGAUGGAGCAACGCCGCGUGUGUGAUGAAGGCUUUCGGGUCGUAAAGCAUUGUUGUAUGGGAAGAAAUGCUAGGCUAGGAAAUGAGCUUAGUUUGACGGUACCAUACCAGAAAGGGACGGCUAAAUACGUGCCAGCCGCCGCCGUAA
rnacentral:rRNA from 1 species